rnacentral:rRNA from 1 species
GAUGAACGCUGGCGGCGUGCCUAAUACACGCAAGUCGAGCGAAUGGAUUAAGAGCUUGCUCUUAUGAAGUUAGCGGCGGACGGGUGAGUAACACGUGGGUAACCUGCCCAUAAGACUGGGAUAACUCCGGGAAACCGGGGCUAAUACCGGAUAACAUUUUGAACCGCAUGGUUCGAAAUUGAAAGGCGGCUUCGGCUGUCCCUUAUGGAUGGACCUGCGUCGCAUUAGCUAGUUGGUGAGGUAACGGUCACCAAGGCAACGAUGCGUAGCCGACCUGAGAGGGUGAUCGGCCACACUGGGACUGAGACACGGCCCAGACUCCUACGGGAGGCAGCAGUAGGGAAUCUUCCGCAAUGGACGAAAGUCUGACGGAGCAACGCCGCGUGAGUGAUGAAGGCUUUCGGGUCGUAAAACUCUGUUGUUAGGGAAGAACAAGUGCUAGUUGAAUAAGCUGGCACCUUGACGGUACCUAACCAGAAAGCCACGGCUAACUACGUGCCAGCCGCCGCAGUAA